rnacentral:rRNA from 1 species
AUUGCGCAUGGGCGAANCCUGNGCANCGACGCCGCGUGGGGGAUGAAGCUUCUCGGAGUGUAAACCCCUUUCGACCCGGACGAAACGCCCGCAAGGGCUUGACGGUACGGGUAUAAGAAGCCCCGGCUAACUACGUGCCAGCAGCCGCGGUAAUACGUAGGGGGCCAGCAGUUGCUCGGAAUUACUUGGGCGUAAAGGGUUCGUAGGCGGUGCGGCAAGUCGGGAGUGAAAUCUCUGGGCUUAACCCAGAGGCUGCUUCCGAAACUGCCGUGCUAGAGUGCGGGAGAGGCGAGUGGAAUUACAGGUGUAGCGGUGAAAUGCAGUAGAUAUCUGCAGGAACACCCGUGGCGAAGGCGGCUCGCUGGACCGCAACUGACGCUGAGGAACGAAAGCUAGGGGAGCAAACAGGAUUAGAUACCCUGGUAGUCCUAGCCCUAAACCAUCAGGACUUGGGGUGCAUCCCGUUCGGGGUGCGUCCCGUAGCUAACGCGUUAAGUCCUGCGCCUGGGGAGUACGGUCGCAAGGCUGAAACUCAAAAAAAUUGACGGA